GGAUCAAUCUAUAGAACCCAUCUUGGAAAGUAUUAUGUUUACAGAGUUUUGAUUUAAUCACACCUUAAACUUUAUUAUGCACAUGGGCUUGAGUUAAUUAUCUCCAGGAAAAGUUUGCUGAAUUGUGCUGUACUUAAAUAUGCCUAAAAAAAAAGAAAGAAAAAAAAAAUCUACCUAGUGUCCGAUUCCUAAAGUGUGAACCAACACUGACUUCUGAGUCCUGUUGAAAUGAACUGCUUUCUUACCUCCUCCAAUGUUGCUCUGCUGGCCAUGGUUGCAGAUGGCUCUGCAAUACCAGACAUUGUCUUCUCAUUAGACUAUUUUUAGUUGUGGGUAUGCGUUUUGUAUUUUAGCUUCAUUGAACUACAUGCAGUACUCUUCUGAGGAAAUGACAAAGGGGAGAUUAAUAUUUCUCACGUUCACUAAAACUUGUCAAAUUGUUUGCUUUGGAACAUAAAGUUUUAAUAAAGGAUGCCAGGGUCUCAAUCUCU
rnacentral:lncRNA from 1 species